UAAUUACUUUAACAAUUUGCUGAGGGCCGCCAUGUUGCAGCAGGAUAGUAAUGAUGACACUGAAGAUGUUUCACUGUUUGAUGCGGAAGAGGAGACAACUAAUAGACCAAGAAAAUCCAAAAUCAGAAUGUCACAGGUAGACUAAUGGUUGGCCUACGUUGGUGGAAUCACAUUGAUGAAGAUGGAAAAAGCCAUUGGGUGUCUGAAUCUAGAAAGGAGUCCUCUCAAGAGAAUAAAACUGUGUCAGAGGCUGAAUCAAGGAUCUUUCGGUUGGAACUUAUUGCCUGUCCAGUGCUGUGGGUGAUAUUUGCCUUUAGUGCCCUCUUCUCCUUCAGAAUAAAGUGGUUGGCGGUGGUUAUCAUGGGUGUGGUGCUACAGGGUGCCAACCUGUAAGGUUACAUCAGGUGUAAGGUGGGCAGCAGAAAGAAUUUAACCAGCAUGGCUACUUCAUAUCUUGGAAAGCAGUUUUUAAGACAAAACACUGAAGAUGAUCAGACUUCCUGAAGAGAGAAAGAUUAUGUGCUUUGUUACAUUGGGGAACAACCGAAGAGAUUCUUGACUCUGAACCUUUUAGAGCUUAGUCCAUAUUGCAACAAGGAGUGUUGGCUUUGUUUUUCCACUUAAAAACUUUAUUUAUAAAAAGUAGUUUUCUUAUUAAGCUUUUAUUUCCUUUCUAGCAGUUGGGGCUAGAAAGUAUAUGUUGGCUCUAGAAACGUUGUGAAGAUUUGUUCUGUGGUGUAGGUAUGCACGUGUUUCAUAGGUAUGCACGCAGCCAUGUCAUAUCAAUAUAUCCCAAGUUAGUGAAAGUGUUCAUUUACAUAGGUAAUAGAGACCUUUGUAUUUUGAUCCACAGAACACAGAAGGAUGUUUUUAGUCUGUCUGAAAGCUCUAUGUGUUUACAAAUUAUUUCUUUACAUUAUUUUCAGAAGUAAGUUUUGCUUCCAUGGUUAAGAGUGAGCACUUUGGCUUAUGUAUAAGUUAGAAAUAAUUGUUAGUUUUUAAUAUGUACUUGAAGGGGAAAUUUCUUAGACAUAUGCAAGCAAGUGAAAACAAUUAAGGCCAAUGAUAAUAACUACUUUCUAAAAUUUUAUUUUUAUUUGUAAGAAGUCAUUUACUUAAGGCCCAGUUAAUAUAAAUGGAAUCAUCAUAGUUUGUUUAAGGAAUACCCAGAGAUUGCUGCUGUUCUCUUCAUUUUGCAGAAAGGAUAGCUAGAUAGAAAACUCUUCAGUGGACCUUGAGCUAAUAAAUGUAUCUUUUACCUAAAGAGCAUUAUUCCCAUGUGAUAAUGGGAAUAAUCAUUUACAUACUUGGCAUAAUAAAUGCCUAAAAAGACAUUUUAUUUUCUGAAUCUAUUUUUUUCUUGCUAUAAUGAGGAUAUUGUAAAUUACACAUGUGUAUUAAUGGUAUUUCUUAAAGCAAUAGAUGUAACUGUAAACUAGAUGUAACUGUAAACUAAACCAGUCUACAAACUGUUGUAGGCAUCUGUAAAUUCUGUUGUAGGUACUAUAAACUUUGUUGAAGUCUUAAUCAGCAGAUUAUGUUGUGAAUAUAUUUGUACAUUUUAAAGAUAUUUUUAAGAUUA